CCCUGAGGCGAAACACAACGUCCGCCAUGUGCGGUGCUUUUCUUCUGCCCGUUUUUACGCGGAGGUGGUCUUUUGAGAAGUGCCCAUUAGUUUUUCCUUUUCGCCUUAUAGCGUGCACCACCUUUCAGUCUAUUUAGUCGCCUCUCACGACACGCAGAUUCACGGUAGAUUUAUUCUGUCCCCAAUGCAACGGGGAGAAAAAGGAAAAAUUCAUUGGCGAAUGACCCGGAGCACCCACAGAAUGCACAAGGAUAAGCAAAGGAUAUCAAAACAAGAAUGACGGAAAUUUAUUGGCUAGCUGGCUGCGUUGGUCGCACUUCCUCCCGCUGAAGAAUCCGAAUCAGUUGGAGAUGCCGAAGCGGCGCAACUGAAAAAAGAGGAGUUGGAGAAGGGUCAAUUAGACCUCGAGUUAUGAGUCGUCGCUCCGCCUGCAUGGCUAUGGAAAAAGCUUCAUGAAAUAAAAGAGGAUGCGCGAGAUAGACCUCACGGCUAAUGAAUGGGGCCAGACCGGUCAAGAGAUGAGAAAUGAGCCGGUCUUCCAGCUCUGGACUGAUAUAGGCCUAUGAAUCGUUGGCAGUUGAUCGUCAGUGAUAAACGCCUAACAAGUUUCUACAGACUCCCCUACCUACUGGAAACAUGGAAAAAUCGUGCAAAAUUCUCCUCGUUGCGGAAACCUGUUUCUUACACUAUCCCACUCUGGCGGCCUCUAUUUUUGCACUACCCCAUUCCUGACACCACUGUGAGGUCGCCUGUUUGGGGGGUUUCAGCGUUCGAUACCCCAAUUCUCACACCAGUGUGAGCAUCACGCAACGGGUCUGGCCGAGUUAGUGUUUGGUUGGAUUUUGAAUUUUGGAUGGCUCGUAAGUGGCACAGGGAUCCGGGAAAGGAAGAUGGACACAGAAGUUAGUAUGAAAAGCAAAUAAAUUUAUUAACUAUAAAUGAAACUAAUUAAAGUAUACUAUGUUUCGAGAUAAUAUAUACUUAAAUGCUACUCUAACAAUAAGUUUAUAAGUUUCUAAUAGUUAGAAAAUAUAGGAAAAUCCAAGAUGUGAGUACAGGUUCGAAUUAACGAUAGAAAUCGAAAGAGAUCGAAUACGCUACGC
rnacentral:lncRNA from 1 species